CAAUAGCGUAUAUUAACGUUGUUGCAGUUAAAAAGCUCGUAGUUGAAUGUUGGUGUCGAACGAGCGGUCAGCUUCGGCUGUACUGCUCUCUCGACUCCUUCCUUCUGUGGACUACGUCGCACUUUACUGUGUGGCGCUAGGACGCAGAUCGUUUACUGUGAAAAAAUUAGAGUGUUCAAAGCAGGCCGUACGCUUGAAUACAUUAGCAUGGAAUAAUGGAAUAGGACGUCGGGCCUAUUUUGUUGGUUCUAGGACCGUCGUAAUGAUUAAUAGGGACAGUUGGGGCCGUUUAUAUUCCGUAGUCAGAGGUGAAAUUCUUGGAUUUACGGAAGAUAAACUACUGCGAAAGCAUUCGGCAAGGAUGUUUUCGUUAA
rnacentral:rRNA from 1 species